rnacentral:rRNA from 1 species
UACAGGGGUGCAAACGUUGCUCGGAAUCAUUGGGCGUAAAGCGCACGUAGGCGGUUAUUUAAGUCGGAUGUGAAAGCCCUUGGCUCAACCGAGGAAGUGCAUCCGAAACUGAAUAGCUGGAGUACGAAAGAGGGUCGCGGAAUUCCCGGUGUAGAGGUGAAAUUCGUAGAUAUCGGGAGGAACACCGGUGGCGAAGGCGGCGACCUGGUCGAUACUGACGCUGAGGUGCGAAGCGUGGGAGCAAACAGG